AUUCAGCACGCAACGCUACUCUGUUUACCAGGUCAGGUCCGGAAGGAAGCAGCCAGAGCAGACGACGUGUGUGCCGGGAUGUAGCUGGCAGGG
rnacentral:SRP_RNA from 1 species